ACCUGAGGAAUCAGCAUCGGCUAACUCCGUGCCAGCAGCCGCGGUAAUACGGAGGAUGCAAGCGUUAUCCGGAAUUAUUGGGCGUAAAGCGUCCGCAGGCGGCCUAUCAAGUCUGCUGUUAAAGGUCGGGGCUCAACUCCGGUUAGGCAGUGGAAACUGAUAGGCUAGAGUACGGUAGGGGUAGAGGGAAUUCCCAGUGUAGCGGUGAAAUGCGUAGAUAUUGGGAAGAACACCAGUGGCGAAG
rnacentral:rRNA from 1 species